UACGUAGGGACCAAGCGUUGUUCGGAUUUACUGGGCGUAAAGGGCGCGUAGGCGGCAAAUUAAGUCAUCUGUGAAAUCUCCGAGCUUAACUCGGAACGGUCAGGUGAUACUGAUCUGCUAGAGUGCGGAAGGGGCAAUCGGAAUUCUUGGUGUAGCGGUGAAAUGCGUAGAUAUCAAGAGGAACACCUGAGGUGAAGACGGGUUGCUGGGCUGACACUGACGCUGAGGCGCGAAAGCCAGGGGAGCAAACGGG
rnacentral:rRNA from 1 species